rnacentral:rRNA from 1 species
GUUGAUUGCAUCAGGUGGCUAAUAUUCCAAGCAUGUCCCUUUAGAGGAAAUGAUGAGUCUGAGGGUUCCAAGAACCAAGGUAAUUUCAAGGAAAUGAUUAAGCUUUUGGCUUCUUAUAACAAGGAUGUACAUGAAGUUGUACAGAAUGCUCCAAAAAAUGCAAAGUACACCUCAUCAACUAUUCAAAAGGAAAUUGCUAGCAUAUUUGCUGAAAAAGUGAAGACCUCAAUUAAAGAAGAACUUGGUAAUAGCAAAUUUUCUAUCUUGGUUGAUGAAUGUAGAGAUGAGUCUAAAAAAGAGCAGAUGGUAGUAGUUCUUCGAUUUGCAAACAUAGAAGGGGUGAUAAGAGAACAUUUUCUUGAUCUUGUUCAUGUUAGAGACACUAGUGCUUUGACUCUCAAGAACACAAUUAUUGCCGUCCUAGUUGAUAAUGGGUUGAAUGUGCAAGAUAUUAGAGGCCAGGGAUAUGACGGGGCAAGCAACAUGAGGGGGGAGUGGAAUGGGCUGAAAGCUCUAAUUCUCAAUCUCGAAAUAAGCAUGACAACACCAUAG